CGGCAAGGCGGGCAUCAUGUGGCAUUCAUCUCUGUACCCCCAGCAUCCAGCAGUGCUGGCAUGUAGUUGGCACUCAAGAAAUGUGUGUUGAAUGGAGGAUGUCUGUGCCAAGCAACUGGACUUUACUCUUUCCUGACCCUUGCUCCUAUGACACACCACCUCCUGACAGCCACUGUCACUCCUUCAGAGCAGAACUUCUCUAGGGAACCUUGAAGGGACACAGCUAUGGCCAAAGACACCCUGGGCGAAGCCGGCUUGCACUUUGAUGAGCUGAAGAAGCUGCAGGUGUUAGACCCAGAGGUUACACAGCAGACCACAGAGCUCAAGGAAGAGUGCAAGGAUUUUGUGGACAAAAUUGGCCAGUUUCAGAAAAUAGUUGGUGGUCUAAUUGAGCUUGUUGACCAACUUGCGAAAAAAGCAGAAAAUGAGAAGAUGAAGGCCAUUGGGGCUCGGAAUUUGCUCAAAUCUAUAGCAAAGUAGCGGAAAGCCCAGCAACAGCAACUUCAAGCAUUAAUAGCAGAAAAGAAAA